GAUGAACGCUGACAGCAUGCUUAACACAUGCAAGUCAACUUGAACUUCGGUUUGGGUGGCGGACGGGUGAGUCACGCGUAAAGAACUUGCCUCACAGCUAGGGACAACAUUUGGAAACGAAUGCUAAUACCUGAUAUUAUGAUUUUAGGGCAUCCUAGAAUUAUGAAAGCUAUAUGCGCUGUGAGAGAGCUUUGCGUCCCAUUAGCUAGUUGGAGAGGUAACGGCUCACCAAGGCGAUGAUGGGUAGCCGGCCUGAGAGGGUGAACGGCCACAAGGGGACUGAGACACGGCCCUUACUCCUACGGGAGGCAGCAGUGGGGAAUAUUGGACAAUGGACCAAGAGUCUGAUCCAGCAAUUCUGUGUGCACGAUGAAGUUUUUCGGAAUGUAAAGUGCUUUCAGUUGGGAAGAAAAAAAUGACGGUACCAACAGAAGAAGUGACGGCUAAAUACGUG
rnacentral:rRNA from 1 species